UUUACUGAAAGCUGGCGACCGGCGCCACGGGUGCGUAACGCGUAUGCAACCUACCUUGUACUGGGGGAUAGCCCGGAGAAAUUCGGAUUAAUACCCCAUGGUACCACGAGACAACCUUGUUUUGUGUUUAAAGAUUUAUCGGUACAGGAUGGGCAUGCGUCUGAUUAGUUAGUUGGUGAGGUAACGGCUCACCAAGACGAUGAUCAGUAGGGGUUCUGAGAGGAUGAUCCCCCACACUGGAACUGAGACACGGUCCAGACUCCUACGGGAGGCAGCAGUAGGGAAUAUUGGUCAAUGGGCGAGAGCCUGAACCAGCCAUGCCGCGUGCAGGAAGACGGCCUUCUGGGUUGUAAACUGCUUUUAUCAGGGAACAAAUCGCCCAUGCGUGGGUAGUUGCGUGUACCUGAAGAAUAAGCACCGGCUAACUCCGUGCCAGCAGCCGCGGUAAUACGGAGGGUGCGAGCGUUGUCCGGAUUUAUUGGGUUUAAAGGGUGCGUAGGCGGGGUAUUAAGUCAGUGGUGAAAGCCUACAGCUUAACUGUAGAAUUGCCAUUGAUACUGGUAUCCUUGAGUACAGACGAGGUAGGCGGAAUUUAUGGUGUAUCGGUUCAAUGCAUAGAUUUCAU
rnacentral:rRNA from 1 species